UGGAUUCCAAAUAUUUAUUUAUUUCAUCGUUCGUCCCUAUACUUUAUCCGAUAAUGGGCGCCACAACUUAAAAUCGUCUCAAUACCCCGUUCAAUAUGAGUGAAAUUAAUUACUCUCAAUCCCGUCUGGUAUGGGACUUUCCAGCCCCGCAUGGUUGAAGAUACGUCCAUAGUAGAAUUCACUCUAUGCACCAAGUCUGUACACUCUCUUCCAUGAUACCCAGUAGGCAUUUUUUAUCGAUUCACGAAUGCAUAUUUUCCAUUGUAUUUAACCCAUGUAUACCUCUACUUUAAUUA
rnacentral:lncRNA from 1 species